rnacentral:lncRNA from 1 species
AUGAGCAUUUAUGGUCUUGAAUUCGAUUUCUAUGUUCUGUUUCAAUUGAAGUUUAUCUGAUUUUGAUUCUGCAUAUAUUUGAGUUUGAAAUGAUGUUGUGUUCCAAUCGAAGUUUAUCGCUUGACUCAGGUUUAUUGUGAAAAUUCUUAGCAUUCAAUACUUUUUUCAGUAAGAGUGGUGUUGAUAGGUGCAUCUAAGGAUUAACCCCAAAAGACAAUUCUUCUUUUAAUAUGCUUAUCUUUGUUUAACUUAUGAGGUGAGGCUUGGAAGUGGAAUUACAUCUGGAAAGUUCAUAUUUAGGAGGCUUGGAUGCUGUGAGGUUUGUUUCUGUGAGGCUUUCUUCAAUAAGAGUGGUGUUGACAGUUUUGUGACCUUGGGUUAUAUAUGUGGGUUAUUUGGGUGAUUUAUGUAUAGGUAACUAGUAACUACAUUCUAAUCAUGUUCCUAUAAACUUUGUGGGUUAUAUAUGUGUGCACUCGUUUCCAACUUUGUUAAGCCGAUACAGAGACCAAAAGAUGAGGCUAUUCAAUCUGUAGGUCCGAGGCUAUUCAAUUCAAUUUUGUUAUGUUAAUGAUAUAACAAUUUCCAUCUAAUUAGUUGUUCUGUUCAUAGAAAAACUAUGCUAUG